rnacentral:rRNA from 1 species
UAUCUCUGUAGAGUCUGCAUAUCAAUAAGCGGAGGAAAAGAAACUAACAAGGAUUCCCUUAGUAACGGCGAGUGAAGCGGGAAGAGCUCAAAUUUGAAAUCUUCAAGGUUCUACCUUGACGAAUUGUAGUUUAAAGAAGUGUUUUCUGUUAGAUGAGUAGCAAAAGUUCCUUGGAAUGGGACAUCAUAGAGGGUGAGAAUCCCAGUAUUUGGUUAUUCAUUCUAGCUUUGUGAUACACUUUCAAAGAGUCGGAUUGUUUGGGAAUGCAGUCCAAAAUGGGUGGUAAAUUUCAUCUAAAGCUAAAUAUUGGCGAGAGACCGAUAGCGAACAAGUACCGUGAGGGAAAGAUGAAAAGAACUUUGAAAAGAGAGUUAAACAGUACGUGAAAUUGUCAAAAGGGAAGCGUUUGACACCAGUGUUGUUUUCUCGAAAAUCAAUUAAAAAUGGCAGUGAUUUUGUGUUGUAUUGACCUUAUAAGCUUUCUGCACUCUUUUCAUGUCUUUUUUAAUGCACUUUUCGUUUAACAAGUCAACAUCAAUUUCUUUUGUUGUAAAAAGGGUCAUUGGAAGGUGGCUUUCUUUUCGGAGAAAGUGUUUAUAGCCUUUGACUUCUGCAAUCGGAGAGACUGAGGUCUGCAGCGUAGAUCCUUCGGGAUUAGAUUACAUUUGUGCUAAGUUACAUAGCCUUUCAUAGACAACUUGUUGACUAUAUUCAGUCCUGUUAGCUUACUCGCUUAUGCUAUUUUACCUACGCUUAGGAUGUUGAAGAUGUAGCACAUCAU